GUGUCAGCCGAAAAGGGAAAAAGGAGGGGGCGAGCGUUGUCCGGAAUUACUAGGCGUAAAGGGCACGCAGGCGGUACGCCAAGUCGGGGGUGUAAAGUUACGGCUCAACCGUGACCUUGCAAUCGAUACUGGCGUACUGGAGUGCGGGAGAGGGAAGUGGAAUUCCCGGUGUAGCGGUGAAAUGCGUAGAUAUCGGGAGGAACGCCAGUGGCGAAGGCGGCUUCCUGGCCCGCGACUGACGCUCAUGUGCGAAAGCCAGGGGAGCGAACCGGAUUAGAUACCCGGGUAGUCCUGGCCGUAAACGAUGGGUGCUAGGUGUAGGCGCGUCAAGCGUCUGUGCCGCAGUUAACGCGAUAAGCACCUCGCCUGGGGAGUACGGUCGCAAGGCUGAAACUCAAAUAAAUUGGCGG
rnacentral:rRNA from 1 species